rnacentral:misc_RNA from 1 species
UGAAGUAAAAGUCGUAACAAGGUCUCCGUUGGUGAACCAGCGGAGGGAUCAUUAAAGAGUUCUAUAACUCCCAAACCCAUGUGGACAUACCUUACGUUGCCUCGGCAGGUCGUGCCUACCCCGUAGCGCCCUAUCCUGUAGGACCUACCCGGUAGACGCGGGUAAGCCUGCCGGCGGCCCACGAAACUCUGUUUAGUAUUGAAUUCUGAACCUAUAACUAAAUAAGUUAAAACUUUCAACAACGGAUCUCUUGGUUCUG